rnacentral:miRNA from 1 species
UACCUCAUCGGCCGGAAGGGAUUCCUUCGUCGAUGAGGUAUAACACCCUCAUUGACGGAAGGGAUUCCUUCCGUCGAUGAGGUAAAGCACCCUCAUCGACGGAAGGGAUUCCUUCCAUCGAUGAGGUAAAACACCCUCAUCGACCGGAAGGGAUUCCUUCCGGUGGAUGAGGUA